rnacentral:rRNA from 1 species
UAUCGUUAGUUGUGCAUAGGCGUUUUUUCCCGGAAAUUAUUUGGGUGGUAAAGCGGCGCGUAAGGCGGUUUUUUAAAGUCGGAUGGGAAAGGCUCACGGCUCAACCGUGGAGGGUCAUUGGAAACUGGAAAACUGAGUGCAGAAGAGGAAAGUGGAAUUCCAUGGGAGCGGUGAAAUGCGCAGAGAUAUGGAGGAGCAUCAGUGGCGAAGGCGACUUUCUGGUCUGUAACUGACGCUGAUGUGCGAAAGCGUGGGGAUCAAACAGGAUUAGAUAUCCUGGUAGUCCACGCCGUAAACGAUGAGUGCUAAGUGUUAGGGAGGUUUCCGCCCCUUAGUGCUGCAGCUAACGCAUUAAGCACUCCGCCUGGGGAGUACGACCGCAAGGUUGAAACUCAAAGGAAUUGACGGGGACCCGCACAAGCGGUGGAGCAUGUGGUUUAAUUCGAAGCAACGCGAAGAACCUUACCAAAUCUUGACAUCCUUUGACCCUUCUAGAGAUAGAAGUUUCCCCUUCGGGGGACAAAGUGACAGGUGGUGCAUGGUUGUCGUCAGCUCGUGUCGUGAGAUGUUGGGUUAAGUCCCGCAACGAGCGCAACCCUUAAGCUUAGUUGCCAUCAUUAAGUUGGGCACUCUAAGUUGACUGCCGGUGACAAACCGGAGGAUGUGGGGAUGACGUCAAAUCAUCAUGCCCCUUAUGAUUUGGGCUACACACGUGCUACAAUGGACAUACAAAGGGCAGCGAAACCGCGAGGUCAAGCAAAUCCAUAAAGUUGUUCUCAGUUCGGAUUGUAGUCUGCAACUCGACUACAUGAGCUGAUCGCUAGUAUCGUAGAUCAGCAUGCCUACGUGAAUACGUUCCGGAUCUUGGUAACACACCGCCCGUAAUCGAAUUCCCGCCGACG